rnacentral:rRNA from 1 species
CGGUUAAGCAUCUUCGGAUGUGUAUAAAGUNNCGAACGGCUGAGUAACACGUGGGCAACCUGCCCUUUGCACUGGGAUAGCCUCGGGAAACCGAGGUUAAUACCGGAUACUCCAUAUUUGUCGCAUGGCGAAUAUGGGAAAGCUCCGGCGGCAAAGGAUGGGCCCGCGGCCUGUUAGCUAGUUGGUGGGGUAGUGGCCUACCAAGGCAAUGAUGGGUAGCCGGGUUGAGAGACCGACCGGCCAGAUUGGGACUGAGACACGGCCCAGACUCCUACGGGAGGCAGCAGUGGGGAAUCUUGCACAAUGGGCGAAAGCCUGAUGCAGCGACGCCGCGUGCGGGAUGAAGGCCUUCGGGUUGUAAACCGCUUUCAGCAGGGACGAGGCCGCAAGGUGACGGUACCUGCAGAAGAAGCCCCGGCUAACUACGUGCCAGCAGCCGCGGUAAUACGUAGGGGGCAAGCGUUAUCCGGAUUCAUUGGGCGUAAAGCGCGCGUAGGCGGUCUGUUAGGUCAGGAGUUAAAUCUGGGGGCUCAACCCCUAUCCGCUCCUGAUACCGGCAGGCUUGAGUCUGGUAGGGGAAGAUGGAAUUCCAAGUGUAGCGGUGAAAUGCGCAGAUAUUUGGAAGAACACCGGUGGCGAAGGCGGUCUUCUGGGCCAUGACUGACGCUGANGCGCGAAAGCUAGGGGAGCGAAC